rnacentral:sRNA from 1 species
UGUAUCUGAAGUCUGACGAGGAUGAGAACCUCCGGGGGCAGGAGGUUCGACUCGAGCGAAGCGAGAGAACGUUGCGUCAGCAACGGCCCGCAGGGCGAGCCACGCAGUGGCGAGUCAUCCUCUAUCACCGACCA